AUUGAACGCUGGCGGCAUGCUUUACACAUGCAAGUCGAACGGCAGCGCGGGCUUCGGCCUGGCGGCGAGUGGCGAACGGGUGAGUAAUACAACGGAACGUGCCCAGUAGUGGGGGAUAGCUCGGCGAAAGCCGGAUUAAUACCGCAUACGACCUGAGGGUGAAAGCGGGGGAUCUUCGGACCUCGCGCUAUUGGAGCGGCCGAUGGCAGAUUAGCUAGUUGGUGGGGUAAAGGCCUACCAAGGCGACGAUCUGUAGCUGGUCUGAGAGGACGACCAGCCACACUGGGACUGAGACACGGCCCAGACUCCUACGGGAGGCAGCAGUGGGGAAUUUUGGACAAUGGGCGAAAGCCUGAUCCAGCAAUGCCGCGUGUGUGAUGAAGGCCUUCGGGUUGUAAAGCACUUUUGGCGGGAACGAAAAGGACUGUGCCAAUACCACGGUUCGAUGACGGUACCCGCAGAAUAAGCACCGGCUAACUACGUG
rnacentral:rRNA from 1 species